UACGGGGGGGGCAAGCGUUGUUCGGAAUUACUGGGCGUAAAGGGCUCGUAGGCGGCCAACUAAGUCAGACGUGAAAUCCCUCGGCUUAACCGGGGAACUGCGUCUGAUACUGGAUGGCUUGAGUUUGGGAGAGGGAUGCGGAAUUCCAGGUGUAGCGGUGAAAUGCGUAGAUAUCAGGAGGAACACCGGUGGCGAAGGCGGAUCUCUGGGCCAUUACUGACGCUGAGGAGCGAAAGCGUGGGGAGCGAACAGG
rnacentral:rRNA from 1 species